AUACGUAGGGAGCAAGCGUUAUCCGGAUUUAUUGGGCGUAAAGCGCGCGUAGGCGGCUUGUUAAGUCAGGUGUUAAAGGCAAGGGCUCAACCCCUGUUCGCACCUGAAACUGGCAGGCUUGCGUUUGGUAGAGGAAAACGGAAUUCCCAGUGUAGAGGGGAAAUGCGCAGAUAUUGGGAAGAACACCAAUCGCGAAGGCAGCAUACGAGGCAUCAUCUGACGCUGAUGCACGAAAGCGUGGGGAUCAAACAGGAUUAGAUACCCUGGUAGUCCACGCUGUAAACUAUGAUAACUAUCUUUUAGCGAUACACAGUUAGAGGGUACGAGAAAUCAUUAAGUUAUCCACCUGGGGAUUACGUUCGCAAGAAUGAAACUCAAAUGAAUUGACGGGG
rnacentral:rRNA from 1 species